CAUUUCUUCCUUUUCCCUCUCCACUCUUUUCUUUCCUGCUUUCCCUGCGCAACUUAGUUUUCAUGUCACCUGCGCCAACCGCUUGUCACGAGCACUGGACUCUGUCCUCCAUUUUCUUGGCGGUCAGUGAUUGACUCCGUAUUUGUUUGAGAAAAUAGGAGCAAGGAGUUGACUUUUUGUUGAUGUUGACCCACCCUAAGGUGAAGGAGAAGGAAAAUACUUGAUAUCUUGCUAUGAUUUGCCAAAAUCGCCCUUCCCCGAGCACUGUCGUCACCACCACCCGUUGUCGUGUGGCGUGCUGCCAUGUCCCGCUCACUACCUUUAACCUCAUUGGUGACUUGACACCGCCAUGCCCGUGGUUCGGAGGAACGAUGUAUUGCACCAAACUACUGAAGAACUGUUGAACUAAGUUGAUUUUAUGAAGAAUAAUCAAGAUUUAUAUAAUAUUUAGUUGAUUUUACGACGCUCGUGAGCAAUUGGGACUAAAAAUUUAACGGUUCUAUGUGUUGCUAGUGAUAGCGCAGUUAUCUUGCUACCGCCUAUCGUUCUUGUCUCUUCCAUUCUUGUUGUUAGAUGAAUAAAUUAUAUAUCAAUUAUCUUAAAUCGUUCACAUA